AUUCGGUUGUUGAUUUUUAAAAGCGUUUUUAGCUUUCGGUACUACUCAUUAUAAAGAAAAAUUAAUGAAUGACAUUACCAUAUUUUUCUAUUCAACUGUAUUUCAAAGCAUUGAAUGAGUUCAUUGGCAUUUCCAUUAAGGAAGAAUUGCUUUCUUCUGUUCGACACGCAUUCUGGAAUAAAUAGGAAUGGAUGCCUGUAUCUUCUGUACAACAUUAGUCUUUACUGUAUCACGUUCUGAUUGUCCAUCAAGCCUCUUAGAAUGAAUUCUAAAUUGCUUUCAAGGAAUACAGUGCAAAGAAGCAAGUUUUUAAAAAGCAACCUAGGAUUUUGAUACAUUUCUUAAACAAUUUCUUGUAGGACAUUUUUAAUGGCUUCUGAAAGACUUGAUAUCACCAAGUUUCUUCAAGAAUACUUAAACUGCUGAGGAGUCAUUAUCAAGGCCGAAAUGAAGGUACCCAGAGUCUUUGCAAAGCUUUAUUUUUAUUACAAAUCCAGUUUAUGAAUGCUAUGACCAGAGAACAGUAAUUAUAUAUUUGAACUUCUAAAAUUAUACAACUAAACAUUCGUCUCAAACAUAUUAUAAAUGCAGAUGCUCUACUUACGUUAAUGUUAUAUGUAUAAACUUUUACUAUUUCGCAACAAAGUUGCGGAAAUUGCUUGAAGAAUUUCUGACUGAAAC